GAUGAACGCUGGCGGUGUGCCUAAUACAUGCAAGUCGAGCGAACAGACGAGGAGCUUACUCCUCUGACGUUAGCGGCGGACGGGUGAGUAACACGUGGAUAACCUACCUAUAAGACUGGGAUAACUUCGGGAAACCGGAGCUAAUACCGGAUAACAUGUUGAACCGCAUGGUUCAACAGUGAAAGACGGUCUUGCUGUCACUUAUAGAUGGAUACGCGUCGCAUUAGCUAGUUGGUAAGGUAACGGCUUACCAAGGCAACGAUGCGUAGCCGACCUGAGAGGGUGAUCGGCCACACUGGAACUGAGACACGGUCCAGACUCCUACGGGAGGCAGCAGUAGGGAAUCUUCCGCAAUGGGCGAAAGCCUGACAGAGCAACGCCGCGUGAGUGAAGAAGGUCUUCGGAUCGUAAAACUCUGUUAUUAGGGAAGAACAAAUGUGUAAGUAACUAUGCACGUCUUGACGGUACCUGAUCAGAAAGCCACGGCUAACUACGUG
rnacentral:rRNA from 1 species